UUUUUAUUUGUCUUUAUUUACAGCAAAGUACAUAGGGUGUGGUCAUUUCAUAGCACUAACAAAGGUAGGGCAGUAAAAAGCAAAGGGGAAGAGGCAGCAUCUUCUAGGGAAAAGAACAGCCUAGGUCUCUAGCCACUCAACCUAGCUCCUGAGGCAGGCCUGGGUGGGAACUCACUGCCUGAGAAACAGGAAGCCGCAGAAACACGUCACCUGUGCCUGGCACCGUGAGAACAGAGCAGGCCCAGAGCCGAAUCUUAAAGACUUGCGUACGCCAGACGCAUUCAAUUGUGCCUUUCCCAACCUGCUCUCUUCCUUGUUCUGACAGAAAGCAUACAGCAAUUGCCUGGAGGAAAGAAUAAACCUCACGGGAGACACAGGCGGCCAGCUGGUCCUUCCCAGAAAGCAUGGGUCUGCAUGUACCAGGGAUUGACCCUAGCCUCACGAAAAUCAGCCCAUUCUUUGGAGAUUCUUGGACACAAACAUGGGUGGGUUCCAAGGGCAGUGAAAAACAUUUCCCUGCAAGAGACUGCAUUCCUCUGCAACUGCGGGACUUCGAGGUCAAGGUCGAUCAGUCUCCGCUACUCAGGGGCACACCUGACCCAGUAGCCUCCCAAGAGGCUCACCCUGGAUAGAGCAAACUGGAGCCAACUUCCCCCAUGAUCUCUGAGUAGCCACCAACAUAAAUAUUAGUUCUGAGGCAGGUGACUUGGCCACUCCCCUCUCCCCCAAAGCCUGAACCUGCCCCACUCCCUUCCCCAGGGCCUACUCGACCCACGCCAGAUCAGAUUCCUAUCAGCCUCCAGGUACCCAAAGAGAAGUCAGAGGGGUUGCAUCAGCAUGAUGAGGUAUAAGUCUGGACCUUCCUGUGAGGCAAGGCUCAGAACUUUUGUUUCCUAAACACCCAAGCCAAAGACGAUAGAUGUGAGUGGGGCGGGAGAAGCAAGCACCAUUGGGUGGCUCUGAAGCCGAAGGAUUUGUGCACCUGUGAUCGAUGUGCAGACCUGCCCAGCUCAGCUUCCUUCCUCUAAGAACAGCUAAAACGUCCCCAGGUGGCAAAUGCCAUGGUUUCCAGAUCCAUUUACCUCCAACUCUCCAAAGGAAAUUGCAGAUCCAAAACCUCACGACUCAGACCACAAUGUUUCCUAUAGAAAGUUCGAAAUGCACAACUGACCACAAACUGGGCGGCCCGAGAACAGUACAACCUCCAUUCCUUCCCUGUACCCAGCAAAUACCGCUUCUCGCUGAACUGGUAACCACUUCCCAAGAAGGUAGGGGUAGGGUGGUCCUACGGCUGUGUCCAAGCUACAAGUGGGCUGCUCAGAGGUUUUGGAGGCUUGGUCCCAACACCAUAGGUAGAUGAGGGACCAGCUAAGUAAAGGCUCAGAGAUGAGAAGAAUCCAUUUUCCACGGCAGUGGGAUAGACAGCCAAGGCACUAAGUGGUUUGGCACCUGGAAGCUUCAAGUAAAGUUGAGAGUGCUACCCACUGAGCGGCCGAGGCUCUCCUACACAAGGCUUCCCAUGAGCACGUGCAACACUACAGCAAGGCCAGGGUCCUUGUUCUUGGGAUCUGAGGCCGGGUCCUAACCUACCUUUUUAUCUCAGAAUUGCACAAAGUUGAUGUGAUAAAGACUGCUCCCCGAAUACUCUAGAUGUAUCUGCCUUGGUGAGUGGGCGCCUAACCGCAGGCGCCUGAGCUGAGGGCUCCCUGCUGCAAAGGCUGCCGUCGUGAACUUGCUGCAGGGCCUGCACCGCGGCCUUCUGAUGCCUCAGAAAAGCGGCAAAGCUCUACCGAGGACUAAGUCAAUGACACUUAAAUAGAAAAACGCAAUUGAAGGCAAAUUUGAAUCCUGAUUGGGGGAUUAGACGGUGCGAGGGAACCUCGGUGUGGUUGUGAAGCUAACGGAAUGAGCCUCGGUGGGCUCCGAGUGCCACCCAGACAUGAGGCUCUAAGUUGAGGGACUAAGCGUGUGGCUCAUGACAAUCCACGGUUCUUCUGCAGCUAGGCACAGACUAAGGCCUCUACCUCACACCUCUGCCUUCUUGCUUGGUCCCUCCAGCUGCCUUCUCAGCAUGACAUCAUCAAUUUCCUCUGGGCAGGCGUUCCCACCAAGAAGGAGUGCUCAGAAAAGCUGAAAAUCUCUACCUUGGACGUCUUCAAUCUAAAACCCCAGCUUGGGUACCUGUGAUUUAAAUACCCUUCCUCGGUGUCUUCUAAGAAGACUUCUCUCCUCCUGGCCCCUUCCUGCUAGGCAGUCACCUCAUUAACAUGGUGACGGUGUAGUUCAGGAAAUCAUCCUGAUGUUCUGCUCUUCAGAGAGUCUGGUGGGAGGCAUUGGCUGCCACCUCACAGUAAAGCCCCAGCUCAGAGGGGACAAAAGCUAUUGCCAGCUCCAUGGGUGGAACUGUCAGUGGUCAAUACCAGAUGUCGUUAACCAAAGGUGACUGCAAGGAGCCACUCCUUGUCCAGUAAUGUGUCCAGGCCAAUUCACCAGCUUCCCUAGGAGGUAUGUUCCUUAAACUGUCCAGGCGACAGAGUCCUCUCCCAGCCCCUUCCCUCUUUUUCACACAGGAUGAGACCCUAUCAAAUCUGGAAACUGGAGACAGCUCUGGCGUCUUGGGAAACAGAGACAGCACAGGAGGGAAGGAGUCAUGGAGGUACCCAGGCAGCCAGAGCCAGAGUGAGGCAAGAAAGAACGCAGACAGAUUGAUCUUCCUCAGUGGGCCUCUUCCCUGAGAUUGAGUUGAGAUCACACUUAAUUCCAACUCAAAAAAAAAAAAAAAAAAAAA
ensembl:lncRNA